GGAUGUGAGGGCGAUCUGGCUGCAACAUCUGUCACCCCAUUGAUAGCCAGGGUUGAUUCUGCUGAUCUGGCUGGCUAGGCGGGUGUUCCCUUCUUCCCUGACCUCUCCAUGUGCGUCCCUCCCGAAGCUGCGCGCUAGGUGGAAGAGGACGGCCUUCCUCAAAUAGAGACAGACCAGUCUUUAGUCGAGUGUGUACGAGUAGCGGCGCUACCCUGCUAGAACCUCCGAACAAGCUCACAAGAUGUACCUCAUGAAUUUAAAUCUCCAGUGUAAUGGAUUCCCAGAAUGGCAGCUGACCACGUGACAAUUAAAGAUGGUGCUUU
ensembl:misc_RNA 7SK 7SK RNA